CGGGAAUUUUGGGCAAUGGGCGAAAGCCUGACCCAGCAACGCCGCGUGAGGGAUGAAGGCCCUCGGGUCGUAAACCUCUGUCGGGAGGGGAGAACGGUCGCGAUUCGAACAGGAUCGCGGCCUGACGGUACCUCCAAAGGAAGCACCGGCUAACUCCGUGCCAGCAGCCGCGGUAAUACGGAGGGGGCUAGCGUUGUUCGGAAUUACUGGGCGUAAAGCGCACGUAGGCGGCUUUGUAAGUUAGAGGUGAAAGCCCGGAGCUCAACUCCGGAAUUGCCUUUAAGACUGCAUCGCUUGAAUCAUGGAGAGGUGAGUGGAAUUCCGAGUGUAGAGGUGAAAUUCGUAGAUAUUCGGAAGAACACCAGUGGCGAAGGCGACUUACUGGACAACUGUUGACGCUGAGGUGCGAAAGCGUGGGGAGCAA
rnacentral:rRNA from 1 species